CCCUUUCUUCUUCCCUGCAACUGUGCGUCACUGCCAGCAACUCCAGCAGCUCCAGCAACGUCAGUCGAUCACCACCGCGUGCCAGUUGCAGUCGCACCGCCUUCAUAGCGCGCCAGCACGUCCCGUAGCUCCUCCGCGCGCCACAGUCAGCCGUCUGCCAGGCCUGUCGCGCCUACAAUAGCAGCACCAGCUUCAAGCCUCGCUGCCAGCCGCUCCUCCGCCAGACCGUGUGCCACCGCCGCCGAUCGCCACUGUCUCCGCCUCUCUCCGCCACUGUCAGUUGGAUCCGGCCACUGGCAGUUACUGCCCUUCGAUCCGGCACGCGAAAACUCCCGAUCUAGCAAAAUUAUAUUUUGGCAUCGCUCGGGUUCGUCUAGUGCUUCUCCCGGACAGAAUCAAGCUAGAGCUUUGUUCUCUACCACUGUACUAGGAAGCAGCUGAUUCGACAGAAGCUCUGCAAUCUUCUCCGCAGAGUUAUAAAUGACUUGAAAUGCUCAAGAUUUGUGUGAAGAUUCAAGGAAGCCGUCCAGAAUUAUUUGUUGAAUAGUUUUUAUCUCUAAACUCUUAAUCUUGUUUUUACUUUUCAUCAUUCAUAUUGAUUAUGGAAUUAUUCUCAA